rnacentral:rRNA from 1 species
GUCGAGCGGGCACUUUCGGGUGUCAGCGGCGGACGGGUGAGUAACGCGUGGGAACGUGCCCCUUGGUACGGAAUAGCACCGGGAAACUGGUGGUAAUACCGUAUGUGGUCGAGAGGCGAAAGAUUUAUCGCCAAGGGAUCGGCCCGCGUUGGAUUAGGUAGUUGGUGGGGUAAUGGCCUACCAAGCCGACGAUCUAUAGCUGGUUUGAGAGGAUGAUCAGCCACACUGGGACUGAGACACGGCCCAGACUCCUACGGGAGGCAGCAGUGGGGAAUCUUAGACAAUGGGGGCAACCCUGAUCUAGCCAUGCCGCGUGAGUGAUGAAGGCCUUCGGGUUGUAAAGCUCUUUCAGGGGGGAAGAUAAUGACGGUACCCCCAGAAGAAGCCCCGGCUAACUCCGUGCCAGCAG